rnacentral:misc_RNA from 1 species
GAAAUGCGAUAAGUAGUGUGAAUUGCAGAAUUCAGUGAAUCAUCGAAUCUUUGAACGCACAUUGCGCCCCUUGGUUUUCCAUGGGGCAUGCCUGUUCGAGCGUCAUUUGUACCCUCAAGCUCUGCUUGGUGUUGGGUGUUUGUCCCGUCUCCGCGCGUGGACUCGCCCCAAAGUGAUUGGCAGCCGGCGUACUGGUCCCGGAGCGCAGCACAUGUCGCGCAAACGAGUGCCUUGGUACGGCGGCGUCCAUAAGCCCCUCUCUCACGCUCUUGACCUCGGAUCGGGUAGGGAUACCCGCUGAACUUAAGC